GAUGGUCCUAUGGUCUAGUGGUUAGGACAUUGGACUCUGAAUCCAGUAACCCAAGGCCAAUAUGGUAUAGCCCAGUUGAUCAGGGGGUUUUCCACUAAGUGGUUUCCUCCUUGGGAGGUCUA
rnacentral:tRNA from 1 species